rnacentral:rRNA from 1 species
AACGAACGCUGGCGGCAGGCUUAACACAUGCAAGUCGAACGGGUGCAGCAAUGCAUCAGUGGCAGACGGGUGAGUAACACGUGGGAACCUUCCUAGGGGUACGGAACAACUCAGGGAAACUUGAGCUAAUACCGUAUACGUCCGUGAGGAGAAAGAUUUAUCGCCCUUAGACGGGCCCGCGUCGGAUUAGCUAGUUGGUGGGGUAAUGGCCUACCAAGGCGACGAUCCGUAGCUGAUCUUAGAGGAUGAUCAGCCACACUGGGACUGAGACACGGCCCAGACUCCUACGGGAGGCAGCAGUGGGGAAUCUUGGACAAUGGGGGCAACCCUGAUCCAGCCAUGCCGCGUGAGUGAAGAAGGUCUUCGGAUUGUAAAGCUCUUUUGCCAGGGACGAUAAUGACGGUACCUGGAGAAUAAGCCCCGGCAAACUUCGUGCCAGCCGCCGCGGUAACAC